UUAAUUUAUUAAGGGCGCACGGUGGAUGCCUUGGCACUAGAAGCCGAUGAAGGACGUUACUAACGACGAUAUGCUUUGGGGAGCUGUAAGUAAGCUUUGAUCCAGAGAUUUCCGAAUGGGGAAACCCAGCAUGAGUUAUGUCAUGUUAUCGAUAUGUGAAUACAUAGCAUAUCAGAAGGCACACCCGGAGAACUGAAACAUCUUAGUACCCGGAGGAAGAGAAAGAAAAUUCGAUUCCCUUAGUAGCGGCGAGCGAAACGGGAAGAGCCCAAACCAACAAGCUUGCUUGUUGGGGUUGUAGGACACUCUAUACGGAGUUACAAAGGACGACAUUAGACGAAUCAUCUGGAAAGAUGAAUCAAAGAAGGUAAUAAUCCUGUAGUCGAAAAUGUUGUCUCUCUUGAGUGGAUCCUGAGUACGACGGAGCACGUGAAAUUCCGUCGGAAUCUGGGAGGACCAUCUCCUAAGGCUAAAUACUCUCUAGUGACCGAUAGUGAACCAGUACCGUGAGGGAAAGGUGAAAAGCACCCCGGAAGGGGAGUGAAAUAGAACCUGAAACCGUGUGCUUACAAGUAGUCAGAGCCCGUUAAUGGGUGAUGGCGUGCCUUUUGUAGAAUGAACCGGCGAGUUACGAUUUGAUGCAAGGUUAAGCAGUAAAUGUGGAGCCGUAGCGAAAGCGAGUCUGAAUAGGGCGUUUAGUAUUUGGUCGUAGACCCGAAACCAGGUGAUCUACCCUUGGUCAGGUUGAAGUUCAGGUAACACUGAAUGGAGGACCGAACCGACUUACGUUGAAAAGUGAGCGGAUGAACUGAGGGUAGCGGAGAAAUUCCAAUCGAACCUGGAGAUAGCUGGUUCUCUCCGAAAUAGCUUUAGGGCUAGCCUCAAGUGAUGAUUAUUGGAGGUAGAGCACUGUUUGGACGAGGGGCCCCUCUCGGGUUACCGAAUUCAGACAAACUCCGAAUGCCAAUUAAUUUAACUUGGGAGUCAGAACAUGGGUGAUAAGGUCCGUGUUCGAAAGGGAAACAGCCCAGACCACCAGCUAAGGUCCCAAAAUAUAUGUUAAGUGGAAAAGGAUGUGGCGUUGCCCAGACAACUAGGAUGUUGGCUUAGAAGCAGCCAUCAUUUAAAGAGUGCGUAAUAGCUCACUAGUCGAGUGACACUGCGCCGAAAAUGUACCGGGGCUAAACAUAUUACCGAAGCUGUGGAUUGUCCUUUGGACAAUGGUAGGAGAGCGUUCUAAGGGCGUUGAAGCAUGAUCGUAAGGACAUGUGGAGCGCUUAGAAGUGAGAAUGCCGGUGUGAGUAGCGAAAGACGGGUGAGAAUCCCGUCCACCGAUUGACUAAGGUUUCCAGAGGAAGGCUCGUCCGCUCUGGGUUAGUCGGGUCCUAAGCUGAGGCCGACAGGCGUAGGCGAUGGAUAACAGGUUGAUAUUCCUGUACCACCUAUAAUCGUUUUAAUCGAUGGGGGGACGCAGUAGGAUAGGCGAAGCGUGCGAUUGGAUUGCACGUCUAAGCAGUAAGGCUGAGUAUUAGGCAAAUCCGGUACUCGUUAAGGCUGAGCUGUGAUGGGGAGAAGACAUUGUGUCUUCGAGUCGUUGAUUUCACACUGCCGAGAAAAGCCUCUAGAUAGAAAAUAGGUGCCCGUACCGCAAACCGACACAGGUAGUCAAGAUGAGAAUUCUAAGGUGAGCGAGCGAACUCUCGUUAAGGAACUCGGCAAAAUGACCCCGUAACUUCGGGAGAAGGGGUGCUCUUUAGGGUUAACGCCCAGAAGAGCCGCAGUGAAUAGGCCCAAGCGACUGUUUAUCAAAAACACAGGUCUCUGCUAAACCGUAAGGUGAUGUAUAGGGGCUGACGCCUGCCCGGUGCUGGAAGGUUAAGAGGAGUGGUUAGCUUCUGCGAAGCUACGAAUCGAAGCCCCAGUAAACGGCGGCCGUAACUAUAACGGUCCUAAGGUAGCGAAAUUCCUUGUCGGGUAAGUUCCGACCCGCACGAAAGGCGUAACGAUUUGGGCACUGUCUCAACGAGAGACUCGGUGAAAUCAUAGUACCUGUGAAGAUGCAGGUUACCCGCGACAGGACGGAAAGACCCCGUGGAGCUUUACUGUAGCCUGAUAUUGAAAUUCGGCACAGCUUGUACAGGGUAGGUAGGAGCCUUUGAAACGUGAGCGCUAGCUUACGUGGAGGCGCUGGUGGGAUACUACCCUAGCUGUGUUGGCUUUCUAACCCGCACCACUUAUCGUGGUGGGAGACAGUGUCAGGCGGGCAGUUUGACUGGGGCGGUCGCCUCCUAAAAGGUAACGGAGGCGCUCAAAGGUUCCCUCAGAAUGGUUGGAAAUCAUUCAUAGAGUGUAAAGGCAUAAGGGAGCUUGACUGCGAGACCUACAAGUCGAGCAGGGUCGAAAGACGGACUUAGUGAUCCGGUGGUUCCGCAUGGAAGGGCCAUCGCUCAACGGAUAAAAGCUACCCCGGGGAUAACAGGCUUAUCUCCCCCAAGAGUUCACAUCGACGGGGAGGUUUGGCACCUCGAUGUCGGCUCAUCGCAUCCUGGGGCUGUAGUCGGUCCCAAGGGUUGGGCUGUUCGCCCAUUAAAGCGGUACGCGAGCUGGGUUCAGAACGUCGUGAGACAGUUCGGUCCCUAUCCGUCGUGGGCGUAGGAAAUUUGAGAGGAGCUGUCCUUAGUACGAGAGGACCGGGAUGGACAUACCUCUGGUGUACCAGUUGUCGUGCCAACGGCAUAGCUGGGUAGCUAUGUGUGGACGGGAUAAGUGCUGAAAGCAUCUAAGCAUGAAGCCCCCCUCAAGAUGAGAUUUCCCAACUUCGGUUAUAAGAUCCCUCAAAGAUGAUGAGGUUAAUAGGUUCGAGGUGGAAGCAUGGUGACAUGUGGAGCUGACGAAUACUAAUCGAUCGAAGACUUAAUCAA
rnacentral:rRNA from 1 species